UUUCACGAAGUGACGGAUAAGCAGCCGCCAAUACGUGAAAACAAACGAAUACGCUUUGCACUCAAGAGUUUUUUCACGAAGUGACGGAAGGCAAAUGUUUACAGUUUGGAACAGCCGAAGACCAUGAAAUGAUGCAGUAUAUACAAUAAGCGAUGUUUCAGAGAACAAAUGAGAGAAGUCCUGGAACUGGUACACCUGCUAUUUAACAAUGCUGAUGGUCAGAUACAAUUCCAGGUUAGAUCCAGGGGCCGACACGCUUGUCAGAUGGGUCAUUGAUGAUUCCCUGAACAUCGCAGAUAUGAUCUGAUUUGGUGACAUGACAGUGGAAUUGGUAGUGACUGGAUUUUUAUAGUGUGCCCUGGUUUUGAACUAUUGAAGUAACCAAACUAGAAACAUCUUCUGAGAACUCUGACUGCAAUUCUAAUGAUGAAACUCUGUCUACACUUGUGAAAAUGUGAAGGAGUUGGCUCUACCUCGUGGCCUUUCAGGUUCAGUGCUCUCAUCUAACUUUUUCUUUUUCCAGCUGGGUAACUGAUACCAAUUUUAAUUUUCUUGAGAUUUUGACUUCAACAUAAGUUUAGUUUUAAUUUUGAUAGGACUUUCAAAUCUGGUUUCAUUUUUAGAGCAGUGUAUUAUAUAAAGAAACUAUACUGCUU